GGGAAAUCUGUUUUAUUAUAAUAUUAACACAAAGAUUAGACAUAUUCUUCAAUAUUAAGAAAAAAAUAGACAAAACUUAACAGAGUCAAUUUUCAACCAAUUGGAGGCCACGUGGCCGCCAGCCGGCCGGCGAUUUUUUUACUCCGCCGUCUUCUGCAACCGCAGUUCCUUAUAAAACCGAUUAAUAAAUUCCUCCGCCGCUUUAUCCACGUGGCAGUCCUCAUCGGCACCUCCGGCCACCGGAAACGGCGAGUCGGUUACUCUCAACUGCCUAACCAGCAUCGGGCUGCGGCCAAACCCAGGUAACGCCGGGGACGCCACAUCAACCGCCACGUCAUUAUUAUUGUUGAGAGCCUCCCAAACGGCUUUAAAAGCGUUCAUGGCGGCCACGUCAUCAUCAAGCGUAUUAGGCGCGUGAGCACACGCGAAGAAAUGGCGUCGUUUGUUGAAGGUGUAAUGCAAUCUAGGAAAAGCAGGGGUAUUGGUGCAGCUAAAUUCGUAGUGACCGGCAGCGGCCGCGAGAUCGAGGUGGUUGUUGCGGCGGAAAGGGGCGAGGGAGAAGGCACCACCGGAGGCGUUGUCGUGGUGGUGGAACAUGAGAUUCUUCAAGGCUUUUCCGGUGAGCUUGCGGCGUUUUGAGAGGAGAUUUGUGAGGUCGGCCAUAAGCUUGCUUUUGGAAAUGCCUUUCCUCAGCAUGUAAUAAGCUAUACGUACCAUAUUCCA
rnacentral:misc_RNA from 1 species